rnacentral:lncRNA from 1 species
CAGUGUAGGUUGGAGUCUCCGCUAGAGACCUUCCUUGCCUUAUUAACACCUCCUCCAUUUCUCUCAUCUCCAUUAACACUAACAACAACACCCCAUCAACGGCAAUUUCACUUUCUUGGGAAAACAGAGUAGUUUCUCGAGAAAAUGGAGAAGAACCCAGGUGGAGCAAAGUUGAAGUGAACAGAGUGAAGGAUCCAGGAAAUGCGGAAGAUGAAUAGGAACAUGCUGGCUGUUUUCUUGUUCAUGUUUUUAAAUAAUAUAAGGAAAGAGGACACCUACAACUAGGUUAACGAAAUAAUUAUUGGAAAUGGUCUCACAACCAUACACAGGCUCAAAAUUUAUUAAGAAAAAGAAAGAUUUAUGGGAAAUUAAUUUUCAAAU